GGGUGAGUAACACGUGGAUAACCUACCUAUAAGACUGGGAUAACUUCGGGAAACCGGAGCUAAUACCGGAUAAUAUUUUGAACCGCAUGGUUCAAAAGUGAAAGACGGUCUUGCUGUCACUUAUAGAUGGAUCCGCGCUGCAUUAGCUAGUUGGUAAGGUAACGGCCUACCAAGGCAACGAUGCAUAGCCGACCUGAGAGGGUGAUCGGCCACACUGGAACUGAGACACGGUCCAG
rnacentral:rRNA from 1 species